rnacentral:lncRNA from 1 species
AAAACAGGGAAACUAGAAGCCACCACAGCACCACCAACUAAGGCAAAACAACCAACCAAAGGAAGGAAGACUAUGGCAAUCAAGACAGCCUUUCUCAAAAGAAGAAAGUCUUUCAGAUUGGCAAAGAAGUCCAAACCAGUUUCAACCUCUUCUCAUCACAGUCCAAUUCAUGUUUCAAAAUAAUCUUCUCCAGAAUCCUCUCCUAGAAAGUCAUCUCCUCUCUGAGAACCCUCUUUGUUUCCUCUUAACCCUUUCUAUGGAACUGAAUCCUCACCCUCUGCUUCAUUAGAUGAGUAGAAUCCCCCUCCUUUGAUGCUGACAAAAAGGGGGAGUAGUAUGGUACCAAGGGAGUAGGAACCAGAGAAUAAUGUUUAAAAAAUAAAAUGUUAGUGUAGAGGAACCAAGAACCUAGGAAAGGAAAGAAAGCAGAACCAGGGGUGCAUGAAAUUAGAGAAAUAGGAGAUAGAAAGCAAAACUAGUCUAGGGGCAUUUUCAGAAUACUUUUUAAUCAACUAUUAUUUGUGCCUUGGUGGCACUUAAACACUCAGCUCUAAUUUUGUUAUUUAUGUGGAUGUAUGUGAAACAUGAAUGCUGAUAUGCUUAUGAUAUUUAACUGCUGUAAACUAAAGUCUGCUGAUGUUUUGAUAGCUUGACUGUCAUAAACAAAAUCUGCUGCUAAUAUGCUGAUAUUAAGAAACUUUAGAUAAUUAAAAUGAUGGUAAGGUUACUCACAAUGUCUAGAGUGGGGAUUUUCGAAAUACUCAGACUAUUGGUCCUCGGAUGCAAUUCCCUUGCCUUUAUCGGAGGACUCACCACCUUGACACAAUACAAAAUCGAGGAAUUCACCACAUUGGUACUAAAUUGAAAUUAAACUAAUUUUGACUACUAAUGCAUGAUAUGGAAUGCAAAAGGUCUAAAUUUUGCCUAAACACCGUAUUGACCUAUUUCGGUCUUUUACCCGAUAAAUUGAAA